UGUCGGUAAACGUGUACUGUUUGGUCAGACAGGUGGUACACGUUGACUAUAUCGGGUUGUGCAUUCCACCGUCACUCUGAAUUAGAAUGUAUAUGACAUUGAACGAAAAUGCUCUAA
rnacentral:ncRNA from 12 species